rnacentral:rRNA from 1 species
AUUGAACGCUGGCGGCAUGCCUUACACAUGCAAGUCGAACGGUAACGCGGGGCAACCUGGCGACGAGUGGCGAACGGGUGAGUAAUGCAUCGGAACGUGCCCAGUAGUGGGGGAUAGCCCGGCGAAAGCCGGAUUAAUACCGCAUACGACCUACGGGUGAAAGCGGGGGACCGUAAGGCCUCGCGCUAUUGGAGCGGCCGAUGUCAGAUUAGGUUGUUGGUGGGGUAAAAGCCGACCAAGCCGACGAUCUGUAGCUGGUCUGAGAGGACGACCAGCCACACGGGGACUGAGACACGGCCCAGACUCCUACGGGAGGAAGCAGUGGGGAAUUUUGGACAAUGGGGGCAACCCUGAUCCAGCCAUGCCGCGUGCGGGAAGAAGGCCUUCGGGUUGUAAACCGCUUUUGUCAGGGAAGAAACGCUCUGGGCUAAUACCCCGGGGUAAUGACGGUACCUGAAGAAUAAGCACCGGCUAACUACGUGCCAGCCGCCGCCGUAAUAC